rnacentral:rRNA from 1 species
CGCGGCCUAUCAGCUUGUUGGUGGGGUAACGGCCUACCAAGGCAACGACGGGUAGCUGGUCUGAGAGGAUGUCCAGCCACACUGGGACUGAGACACGGCCCAGACUCCUACGGGAGGCAGCAGCUAGGAAUCUUGCGCAAUGGGGGAAACCCUGACGCAGCGACGCCGCGUGCGGGAUGAAGGCCUUCUUGGUUGUAAACCGCUUUCAGCAGGGACGAUUGUGACGGUACCUGCAGAAGAAGCCCCGGUCAACUACGUGCCAGCAGCCGCGGUAAUACGUAGGGGGCGAGCGUUGUCCGGAUUUACUGGGCGUAAAGAGCUCGUAGGCGGUUCGGUAAGUCGGAAGUGAAAACUCCAGGCUCAACCUGGAGAGGCCUUUCGAUACUGCCGUGACUUGAGUUCGGUAGAGGAGUGUGGGACUCCCGGUGUAGCGGUGAAAUGCGCAGAGAUCGGGAAGAACACCAGUGGCGAAGGCGGCACUCUGGGCCGAUACUGACGCUGAGGAGCGAAAGCGUGGGGAGCGAACAGGAUUAGAUACCCUGGUAGUCCACGCCGUAAACGUUGGGUACUAGGUGUGGGGCUCUAUCGACGGGCUCCGUGCCGUAGCGAACGCAUUAAGUACCCCGCCUGGGGAGUACGG